GUGUGCACGAGCUCGUGUCGGCUGGAGGGAGGUGUGGAUCCACUACCCUUUGCUAAGGGCCACCUUGCUUCCCCAUAGGCAGAUACGUGCUCUUGCACAUGGCCUGGCCAUCUGCAGUCUAAUUCACCCUGCAUCUCACCUGGUGCCAUACCUCCCUUCCCUAAAUAAAAGAGCUGGGAAGCAGCAUGGCAUUGAGAACCAGCCCUGGGUAGCAGAUCAGAGGAGCCUGAGCUUACAUGGUCACACUAGAUGUUAAGCAGGCUUAUUUCCCCUCUGCUCUCCCAUGCUGUCCCAUCUGCACAGGCUGGUAUCUGCAUCCUUGCUUCCUGUUGAUCACACACACUUCAGUGACCCCACUGAUGGCAUCCAUCAACCAGUCAAGGCUCUACAUGUCUCCAGACAGCCGUUAUUCCAAUUCCACAUCGCUACCCUGGAAAAAAAGUCCUCAGCUCCUCUCUAGAGAGGGGUGGGAAUCAAAACAUUGACAGCAAUAUAUGGCCACAGCUACUAAAGUAACUUUACUGAGGAUGGGUUCGUGCCUAGCUGUACCCUGUGCCCUUUCAGUUUGCCUGAAGAGGGCAUGUGGCUCCUCUGUUCCUGUCUAAACACACAGGAAACCGGCCAGCUGCAUGAUCUGACGCUCUAAAUUUGAGCAGCAUCUUCACUGCUUCAUCCUGCCUCUGCAGAGCAGGCAGCGAGCACGCACCUGCAGCUCCGGUUUUGCCUCUUGCUGAGGUCACCAGUUUGUCAUCCGCAGCCCUGAAUGCUGCGCAGCAAGGAGGAGCACGUCUGCGAGUGCAUUCCUGCAGAAGAGGGGAAAUGCAGGGUGGAGCAGCAACCAGCAGCUGACACUGUUUGCUACGCACUUGCUCACCACGAGGCUCAGGACGCUGCCCGCUCCUUGAAUGUUUCCUUGAUUACUUAUUCCCAGCAUACUCACACACACAAACACACACUCACCCGCUUCUCUCAGAAGACUGGAAGGACGGGCUACCAGGAAAACAAUAGCAUUUCUCCCACUCGCAGCUGUGUGACAUUUGUUUUUGUUUCUCCAGGUGGCUUUUCUGUGCUAGCAGAACAUCUCACUCCUCAGAUUUUGACUUCUCUUGCCUCUUCUUGUCGGUGUUGGACACGGCCAUCAGUAGACACAGUUCUGAGCAAUCACCGAGGAAGGUUUUUCUUAUGCACUGUGGUAAUUGUGUCAGAACUCAAGGCAGUCCCACCGGUGUUCAGGUUUCAUCUGCCAUUCCCAGAGGAUUUCAUUACUCCCGCACAACCCUUUUUUCCUAGCAAGAUUUCACAUUGCCAGACCCCAGUAGAGACACUCAUGGACACAAUUCACCUGGCUUCCCCAGUCUGUGCUAAUGAGUACUGCGCUACUAAGGAAUAUGAAAGUGCCAUUGGCAGAGCCUCUCCCAGGGUACCCCUGCUCUUGUGACUGUGGUAUUCUCCUGGAAAAGAAGAAGGGUAGACAGGGAAGCAGAAGAGGGCAUUGAACAUCCUACGCGAGCACAUCAGGCAAACGCAUGUGCUAAAGUUCACAGAGAACCUCACAGGACUGUGCCCCGUUGGCCACCAGACUAGAGGGACAGCCUCUCAGCUCCACUAUCCCCCUGUGAGUGGGAUCCCUUCUUCUCACUUCUCUUUUGGGUGCUUGAAUGUUUUGCUUUCAAUUAAAUGCAAUUUUCACUGUGAAAUACAGCUAUUCCUUUGCAGUUUUUCAGCAAGAGACAUAAAACCUAACCAGACUCAUCUGUUCCUACUGAGGUGAUGUUUUCUUCUUUCCUGCUGAACCAAACAGCACUUAUUCAUAUCUCGCUGCUAUUUUUAAGAGUGGGGCCCAGCUGUAUGGCAUUCAGAAGCACCACUAAAACUUCAACAGCAGAGUACACAUCAUAGUACAUUCUGGUUAGAGAAAUGACUGGCAGUCAUUUUUGCAAUGAGUGCUGUCUGUAUCGAUGCAUGUGUGCGUAUUUAUUACAUUAGUCACCUCCGCUACUAGAAUGACUUGCAAUUAAGAUUGCUGUAGUACCUGAAAUGUCACAUUGCUUGCCUUCAUUCUGAAAGGGGCACUGCCUUAACCAGAUAAAGCAAAGAGAGACAUAUGAGGGCAUGACCAGACUUAUCCUUAUAACCACAUUAGAAUGGCUGGAAAUGUUACCACUUCUCAGCAGAGAAGUAUAUUUUAGCUGGGACAGAGUCACUGGCCGCAUGUAAGCUCUCAGUCUCUUGAACUGCAAAGCAAGAUGACUUUCAGACGUGAAAGGAACUAACCCAUUUCAUUUUGCAUUUGCCAUACAUGCCCAUAGGGUUCUCACAUCUUCGCUGAGAGACAACCACCUCCAACCACAGUGGCACACAUUUCCUAAGUUCUUAUAGUGUGACACAAAGAACAUAAGCUGAUACGCAAACACAGUAAUUAGUAUAGGAGUACCCACCUGGCUGAUGCGCUGCAUCCGUUUGCUUGUGCUCAGAGGUUGGUAUGAGCUUACAUUUUAUCUCACGUGUGAAGUGUGGAGCCAGGACCUGCCCCUCCAGCAGGUUAUGGCAUGUGCUCGCUGCUUGGGCCUCCCAGGAACUCCAGCAGGUCACUGAGAAUCACAGUGCAAGGCACCAACAGUCCUGGUCUUUGUUCACAAGGCCCUUUCCUUCGAACAGCAUAGAAAAACAAUCAGAUCACUUACUGUCAGUGGGCAGCGUUGAACCCUGAAUAUUGGGAUGGCUGCAUGGCAUAGACAAGCCGUUCAACUUACUCUUUUGCUCUUCUGAACUAAUCAACUCGGAUGGUCAAACUGGCACAAAAGUACGUUUUCUUGUGUUUGGUUUGGUUAUUUUUUUUCCCCCACAGGACUCAUUCGCUUAUGUCAAUCAACUUGAAACAAAAUCAAAUACAAGUUUCCAUGUUUGUGGGUCUCCCGGAGAGGAAAAGGCAG
rnacentral:lncRNA from 1 species